rnacentral:sRNA from 1 species
UAGGGUUUCAGAAGCUCGGUUUCAGAAGCGAACACAUAUUAGAAU